rnacentral:tRNA from 2 species
GGCACUUUGGCGGAGUGGUUAACGCGAUGCCCUGCUAUAUACAAGCUAGGCAUUUCCUUCGGGAGCGUGUGUUCGAAUCACACAGGUGUCG